rnacentral:tRNA from 1 species
GUUCGGCCAGUACGGGCGCGUCGUCGCCGGGGGCGGCGACGCGCACGUACCCGGCGAGCGCCAGCGGUUCGACACCGGAGCCGCGCA